rnacentral:rRNA from 1 species
UACGGUAGGGUGCGAGCGUUGUCCGGAAUUACUGGGCGUAAAGAGCUCGUAGGUGGUUUGUCGCGUUGUCCGUGAAAACUCACAACUCAAUUGUGGGCGUGCGGGCGAUACGGGCAGACUGGAGUACUGCAGGGGAGACUGGAAUUCCUGGUGUAGCGGUGGAAUGCGCAGAUAUCAGGAGGAACACCGGUGGCGAAGGCGGGUCUCUGGGCCGAUACUGACGUGAGGAGCGAAAGCGUGGGGAGCGAACAGGAUAGAAACCCU